ensembl:snoRNA
GCUGAGGAAUGAUGACAAUAAAAGGCCGAAUUGCAGUGCUUCCAUAAGCAGUUUGCUCUCCUUGGAUGCACGAUGACAAAGUCUGAAGCGAAUCAUUAGUCUGACCUCAGU